CGCGGUAAAUUGACCGUGCAAAGGUAGCAUAUUCAUUAGUCUUUUAAUAGGAGUCUGGUAUGAAAGGUUUAACGAAACAUAAACUGUCUUUAAUUUUAUUUAUUGAAGUUAGCUUUUAAGUUAAAAGGCUUAAAUUUUAUUGAUGGACGAGAAGACCCUAUAGAUUUUUACAUAAUUGGUUAUUAUAAUUUAAUUGAUUAAUUAUAAAUAUAAUUUUUAGUUUUGUUUAGUUGGGGUGACUAUAAAUAUAUAAUUAACUUUUAUAUUUUACAACCAUUGAUUUAUGAUUAUUAGAUCCAUUAUUAUUGAUUAUUAGAUCAAAUUACCUUAGGGAUAACAGCGUAAUCUUCUUUCAGAGUUCAAAUUUACAAGAAGGCUUGCGACCUCGAUGUUGGAUUAAGAUAAUUAUUAGGUGUAGUAGCUUAAUUAAUAGGUCUGUUCGAC
rnacentral:rRNA from 1 species